UCCCUGGUGGCGAGCGGCGGACGGGUGAGUAAUGCAUAGGAAUCUGCCCGGUAGUGGGGGAUAACGUGGGGAAACCCACGCUAAUACCGCAUACGUCCUACGGGAGAAAGCGGAGGAUCUUCGGACUUCGCGCUAUCGGAUGAGCCUAUGUCGGAUUAGCUAGUUGGUAAGGUAACGGCUUACCAAGGCGACGAUCCGUAGCUGGUCUGAGAGGAUGAUCAGCCACACUGGGACUGAGACACGGCCCAGACUCCUACGGGAGGCAGCAGUGGGGAAUAUUGGACAAUGGGCGAAAGCCUGAUCCAGCCAUGCCGCGUGUGUGAAGAAGGCUUUCGGGUUGUAAAGCACUUUCAGCGAGGAAGAAAGCCUCUGGGUUAAUACCCCAGAGGAAGGACAUCACUCGCAGAAGAAGCACCGGCUAACUCCGUGCCAGCAGCCGCGGUAAUACGGAGGGUGCGAGCGUUAAUCGGAAUUACUGGGCGUAAAGCGCGCGUAGGUGGCUUGGCACGCCGGUUGUGAAAGCCCCGGGCUCAACCUGGGAACGGCAUCCGGAACGGCCAGGCUAGAGUGCAGGAGAGGAAGGUAGAAUUCCCGGUGUAGCGGUGAAAUGCGUAGAGAUCGGGAGGAAUACCAGUGGCGAAGGCGGCCUU
rnacentral:rRNA from 1 species